CACGGACCGCACGAACGUUAUUCGGUAUCACUGGGCUUAAAGGGUGCGUAGGCGGCUUUGCAAGUUGGGUGUGAAAGCCCUCGGCUCAACCGAGGAAUUGCGCUCAAUACUGCCGAGCUCGGAGAGAGACAGAGGUAAGCGGAACUAAUGGUGGAGCGGUGAAAUGCGUUGAUAUACGAUCCAGGAAGCACCGGAGGCGAAGGCGGCUCACUGGG
rnacentral:rRNA from 1 species